rnacentral:rRNA from 1 species
AGAGUUUGAUCAUGGCUCAGAUUGAACGCUGGCGGCAGGCCUAACACAUGCAAGUCGAGCGGCAGCACAGAGGAACUUGUUCCUUGGGUGGCGAGCGGCGGACGGGUGAGUAAUG